GGCUCAGGACGAACGCUGGCGGCGUGCCUAAUACAUGCAAGUCGAACGAAGCUUUCUUUCACCGAAUGCUUGCAUUCACCGAAAGAAGCUUAGUGGCGAACGGGUGAGUAACACGUAGGCAACCUGCCCAAAAGAGGGGGAUAACACUUGGAAACAGGUGCUAAUACCGCAUAACCAUGAACACCGCAUGAUGUUCAUGUAAAAGACGGCUUUUGCUGUCACUUUUGGAUGGGCCUGCGGCGUAUUAACUUGUUGGUGGGGUAACGGCCUACCAAGGUGAUGAUACGUAGCCGAACUGAGAGGUUGAUCGGCCACAUUGGGACUGAGACACGGCCCAAACUCCUACGGGAGGCAGCAGUAGGGAAUCUUCCACAAUGGACGAAAGUCUGAUGGAGCAACGCCGCGUGAAUGAAGAAGGCCUUCGGGUCGUAAAAUUCUGUUGUCAGAGAAGAACGUGCGUGAGAGUAACUGUUCACGUAUUGACGGUAUCUGACCAGAAAGCCACGGCUAACUACGUGCCAGCAGCCGCGGUAAUACGUAGGUGGCAAGCGUUGUCCGGAUUUAUUGGGCGUAAAGGGAACGCAGGCGGUCUUUUAAGUCUGAUGUGAAAGCCUUCGGCUUAACCGAAGUAGUGCAUUGGAAACUGGAAGACUUGAGUGCAGAAGAGGAGAGUGGAACUCCAUGUGUAGCGGUGAAAUGCGUAGAUAUAUGGAAGAACACCAGUGGCGAAAGCGGCUCUCUGGUCUGUAACUGACGCUGAGGUUCGAAAGCGUGGGUAGCAAACAGGAUUAGAUACCCUGGUAGUCCACGCCGUAAACGAUGAGUGCUAAGUGUUGGAGGGUUUCCGCCCUUCAGUGCUGCAGCUAACGCAUUAAGCACUCCGCCUGGGGAGUACGGUCGCAAGACUGAAACUCAAAGGAAUUGACG
rnacentral:rRNA from 1 species